rnacentral:lncRNA from 1 species
GAGAUUUCUAAACUUCCCUUCCAACUCCACUCCACUCUGUCCUUUCUCUGGGCCCUCUUGCCCUCCAGGGCUCAUCUGGAAAAGGAGCUAGAGGCGCUGAAGAGACUGACGCUGCCUCUUGCUUGACAACCCCAAAUUAAAUUAGACUUCAGCCUCCGAGUUGUGUGUAUGUGUGUGUUUUCAACGGUUCAGCCCCGCUGGGGAGAAUACUCUGCUUUUAAAAAUGGUAGCAAUUGCCCUUGAAUGGCAGCAGCCCCAGCUAGACAGCCCGAAAGACUAGAAACAUUUUGUAGG